UUCUUCGGGGCAGGGUGCAAUUCCCUACCGGCGGUAUAGUCCGCGAACCUUCGGGCCGAUUUGGUGAAAUUCCAAAACCGACAGUAUAGUCUGGAUGAGAGAAGAA
rnacentral:ncRNA from 1 species